AGAAGGAGACAAGAAUUGCGUUGGCUUCGGCGAGCGACGAAAUGGUUUAAAUACAGGCUACGAGUUCUCCUCGUAGGGUCUCUUGCCUCCGGC
rfam:SC38P2=36.5 kda protein [sweet clover necrotic mosaic virus SCNMV, strain 38, Genomic RNA Complete, 1446 nt].